rnacentral:rRNA from 1 species
UAUGGGGGGAGCAAGCGUUGUUCGGAUUUACUGGGCGUAAAGGGCGGGUAGGCGGCCACCGCAAGUCAGUUGUGAAAUCUCCGGGCUUAACCCGGAAAGGUCAACUGAUACUGCGGGGCUAGAGUGCAGAAGGGGCAACUGGAAUUCUCGGUGUAGCGGUGAAAUGCGUAGAUAUCGAGAGGAACACCUGCGGCGAAGGCGGGUUGCUGGGCUGACACUGACGCUGAACUGCGAAAGCUAGGGGAGCGAACGGG